rnacentral:rRNA from 1 species
CUGUUUAUCAAAAACAUGGCUCUCUGUAUAUUGAAGAUAGAGAGUCGGACCUGCCCGGUGAAUUUUUUAACGGCCGCGGUACUCUGACCGUGCAAAGGUAGCAAAAUCAUUUGCCUUAUAAUUGAAGGCUAGAAUGAAUGGUUUGACAAGAAUACAACUGUCUCUUUACAAUUACAUAAAAUUUUAUCUGCAGUUGAAGAAGCCUGCAUUUGAAUAAAAGACAAGAAGACCCUAUCGAGCUUAAAAAAAACUGGUGGAAUAACAAACUUAAUCCUAACUUAUAAAUAAAUAAAUAGUCAACUACUGGAAAUUUUGGUUGGGGCGACCGGGGAACAAAAAAAACUUCCUUUAUAAAAAUUUAGAUGCCCAAAUAUUGAUCCAGCAUUAUAUGAUUAAAGAAAUUAGUUACCGUAGGGAUAACAGCAUUAUCUUUUUUAAGAGUUCUUAUCGAAAAAAAGGUUUGUGACCUCGAUGUUGGACCAGAAUAUCCUAAAGAUGCAGCCGUCUUUAAGGGUUGGUCUGUUCGACCAUUAAAAUUCUACGUGAUCUGA